AGCGCAGGGCAGCGACUGGGCGGGACCGCGGAACCAGGCAGCUGAGCUCCACCUCGCCGCCCUCUACCGCCUGCUCCCGGACCUCCACCACGGGAUUCUCUGGGGCCACUGGUGCAGGGAGAAGCGGGGAAGAGAGAGGCUGGGGUCCAGGAGAUGGACUCUAAUGGGGCAACGCAGGGCACACUGGGAACUCGGAGCAAAGAGAGACCAAGACGGCCUAGGGAGAUGGAUGAUCAGAGAAGGUUCUGGAAGAAAGCUUCAUUGGAUUCAGAUCUUGAGUAAAUAGGAAUUCACCAGGUAUGGGAAACUGCUCUGUGUUCACCAAACCCCAUCUUUCACACCUGGGCACAUGUUGUAGCUUGUCUGCAUGGAUAGCCUCAGGAGUCUUCCCAUCCCUGUACAUGACCUUGGUAAGGUGAUUUUGCUGCCCCCUCUAUUAAGAAGCCACUCUGUCCUUUGACUCUGGGAAGGACUUGUGACUUCUUUGAUGAAUAGAAUUUGCUAGAAGUGAUAUUGGAUGAGUUCUGGAGCCUCGGCCUCAAGGAACCUUGCUUCCCUGAGACUUAUCAGGUGAAGACGCACAGACUAGUUUCCUUGAGGACGAAGGACCACAUGGAGAGAGAAGCCCAGCCAGCCUCCAGCACCAAUCGCCAGCCAUAUGAGUGAGGCCAUCCUGGACCAUCCAGCCCCAGUGAGACCACUAGGUGAAUGCAGCCACAUGAGUGACCCCGGUAGGGACCAAGAGAAGAACUGUCCAAGUGAUCCAGUCCAAACUGCUGACCCCCAGAGUCAUGAGCAAAUAACAUGAUUGUUUAAAGCCACUGAGUCUGGGUGGUCUGUUAACACCACUAAUUUGGGUACAACAGUACCGGUUAGUACUACACCCAAUUAGGCUACUUUUCCCAGGACCCUUGUACUUAAGUGAGGUCAAGUGAUCGAAUUCUGGUCAAUGGGAUGUAGGUGGAAGAGAGAAACACUUCUUCCAGCCUGGCUCAUCACACUCACAUCCUUCUUGCUGGCUGAAUGAAGAGGACUACAGGGAGCCUAGAGUAGAACCGGAUCACAAGCUGGAAGGAGUCCAGGGGCCUGACUCACUACCCCCUGUGACUUGCCUGCCCAGGACUGUAAUGUGAGCCAGAACUACACUUUUCUGUUAAGCCUUUGAGAUUUCAUGGCUGUUUGUUACAGCAGUUAACCUACCCUGAUUAAUCCAUCAGAAGAACAAGAUAGGCGAUCAGUAAGGGGGUGUUUCCAGCAGAGGAAAUAGCCUAGAAUAAAGCUCGAAGCUGAGAUUAAUCAUCAUCGGCAUCACCAGCAUCAUCGUCACUGUCAUCUUCAAAAUAUCAAUCACCACAAUAGCUGUUCAUUAGGCACUUGUUUGUGCCAGGCUCUGUGCUCAGGACAUUACCUAUAUAAUUUCCAUGUAAUCAUCACAAUAUCCAAAUAAGGUAGACGCUAUUAUCAAUCCUCAAUUUUUUUAACAAUUCCUAUUUCAUAGGUGAGAAAAUUUGUCCAGAGAGAGAAAACGACUUGCCCAAGGUCACAGCCUGAGAGUCGUAGAGCGAGGAUCUGCAUCCGAAUCUCUCUGAUUCUGUAUCCUGUGUCUACAUUCACUCGUGGCUAUCUGGGUGCAAAGCGUUCAGCAUUGGUGAGGGGGUGUGGGAUGUGCUAGUUGAGGGCCUCAGAUGCCAAGCUAGGAGAUUAGCUUUUAUUCUGAAAGCCAGUGGAGGUUUUGAAGCACAAAAAAAGCCAUGAUCAAUCAGAUCUGGUUAUUUACCUUUAAAUAUUGGAUAACUAUUACUCGA